UUUUGCUACUUCAUUUGAUAAUGACAGUCACCAUAACCCUUCUUCUCUAAGGACCUCCUAAGCAAAAAAACAUUCUCCAAAAGAAACAAGAUUGAGCUCACAUAAGGAAAUCUGUCAUAUUUUCCUAAUAUCUAAUUUCCUGUUCAUACUCAAAUGUCCUCAAUCAUCUCCUACUGUCCUCCCCAAAAGUAGGAUCCGAUCAAGUUUCAACCAUUGCAUGGGUUAUUUAUUUAUUUGGGAGUGUCUACCAGGGGUUGAACUCAGGGGUACUCAACCACUGAGCCACACCCCCAGCCCUACUUUGUAUUUUAUUUAGAGACAGGGUCUCACUGAGUUGCUUGGUGCCUCACUUUUGCUGAGGCUGGCUUGGAAUUCAAAUCCUCCUGCCCCAGCCUCCUGAGCUGCUGGGAUUACAGGUGGGUGCCAUGGUGCCUGGCUUGGUUAUGUUUUUGUUAAUCUCUUUCCUUCCAGAACAGUUUCUUCUCAAUGGUUUUUUUUUCCAUUACAUUUUUCCCAGAGAGUCUCAGCUUGAUCCUCCCCUUUUGCCCCCCACCCCCAAAGCAGAGCCACGUAUUGUUUCUUCAAUUACUAUUACCAAGGCUUCUCUCAUAAUGACCCAUUCACUUGCAGAAGGGGCUCCUGACCUUGGUGGGGCUACUCAAUUAGUUCUUAGCCCCGCCUAUGGCUCCAUUUGAUUGCAAUCUGACUUGAUUUUUCUGCUCUCUCCCCCAGAAAUUCCCAGGAAUGGAAACACCCAGCAGCCCCUUCCACCAACAUUGUUUGUCUCUUCUGAUGUUGCCCUCAAUGCUCUGACUCUGCACAUUGUAUUUCUGCUAACUUCAUCUUACCUACAAAACAGACAUUUCCCCCCUUCCACUGCAAUAGAUACCCCUUUCCAUCGAAACUACACCAGAGGUGUAAUGAGAUCAUUGAUGUGAAUGCAACACAGUACCAGCAUACAGUAAGUGCUCAAUAAGUACAAGCUAUUAUUGCCAGGGCAGUGCAAAUUGGGGCUCUCCUCUCCUUCCUCCAUCCUUCUGUGAGGCCUAAGUUCCUGGUUGCGCUUUGGCCACCCUUUCAUGCUAAUGAAGUGCUUUGAAUUUGUCAUUAUUUCAAACCUGUAGAUCUGUGUGUGACAUGCUGUGAGGCUGGCCUUCCUCUUCUGCCUGUGCACGAUUGCCUUUAGGGACCCCAUGAAGGACUUGCAUUUGUCCCUUCAUUUCCUUUAGGCUUUGGCCCAUAGUCCUAACCUUUUGACUUCAUUUCAAGUCUUGGAUUUCCUUAUUGAACAUAUUGGUUCUCCCUCCGAAUUUUGCUUUCUGCAAAUGUGAUACCGUGACUCAUAAGUCAUCAUCUGAACCAGUGAUAAGAAAUAUUGAAGGAGACUGGGGCAUGCCAUCAGAAACCUUCCCCCAGCUCAGUUUCUCAGUGGAAAAAAUAUUUAUCGAGCACCUGUAAUGUGCUCUUCCAUUGCUUACACAUACACGGAUGGCCACCAUGGAUCAGCUAGUCAUGUUUAAAUCUAACCCUUAUUCCUUCAUCUUGCCCACCAAGAAUCCUGAAAAAUUCUGUCAGGUGCUUUGCUAAAAUUAAGCCUAUGGUAUGUAUAACAGUGCCUCCUGGUACCAAUCUACCAACAAUGGAAAUGAGGCUGAUUUGACAAAUUAUCCUUCCUGAGCCACACUGGCCAUCAGUGAUGCUGCCAUCUUUUUAGAGGACUCAAAACCUCUCUGCCAACAGAGCUUCGUCAGACAUCUGUGAUUUCUAGAAUCCUUCCUGCAGUCUUUCUCAAACCUGGGCAACAUGGGCCUGCUCCAGUUUCCCCCCACCCCUCUCAGCUUCCUGAUUUCUUGGUAUUUACCGGUAGGGGUUCUGCACUCUUGACUGAAUUUGUACAGUUCUUGAUUGCAUUUGGUUGGAAUCAAGAGUUGAGCCCAGGCAUAGCAGAAGGGCCCUCCCCGAGUGCUACAUCAGCCAUCUUAGGUCCUAAUUUCUCUAUGGUCUUUCUUACAAUCCUUUCCAGGUUGCCGAUUAUUCUCUUUAGUAAAAGAAAACAGAAGGCUGGGUAUGGUAGCACACACCUGUAAUCAGUGGCUUGGGAGGCUGAGGCAGGGAGAUUGCAAGUUCAAGGCCUGCCUCAGCAACAAAGAGAGAGCCUGUCACAAAAUUAAAUAAAUAAAUAAAUAAAUAAAUAAAUAAAUAAAUAAAUAAAAGGGCUGGAGAUGCAGCUCAGUGGUGAGGCACCCCUGGGUUUGCUCUCCUGUACUGUAAAAAUAAACAAAAAGAAAAUGAAAGAACAUUAGGAGAAAAGAGACUUUAGAUUUUUUUUUCAGACUUUUAUUACCAUCACAUCAUCUGUUUUGAACAAUGGGGUCUAUCUCUUCCCUGUUAUUCUUGCCUCUGGAGAAAAAAAAAUCAGCUUUUAAAGGCUUCUUUUGUUACAUUUGCAUUUUAUUACAGCUUCCAUCAUUCUGGCUUUCAAUAAUAAUAGUAUUAAUACCACCUAACAUUUACUGGGUACUUGCAUUUUAUGCACUGUGAUAAA
rnacentral:lncRNA from 1 species